rnacentral:rRNA from 1 species
UACGAAGGGGGCUAGCGUUGCUCGGAAUCACUGGGCGUAAAGGGUGCGUAGGCGGGUCUUUAAGUCAGGGGUGAAAUCCUGGAGCUCAACUCCAGAACUGCCUUUGAUACUGGGAAUCUCGAGUCCGGGAGAGGUGAGUGGAACUGCGAGUGUAGAGGUGAAAUUCGUAGAUAUUCGCAAGAACACCAGUAGCGAAGGCGGCUCACUGGCCCGGUACUGACGCUGAGGUGCGAAAGCGUGGGGAGCAAACAGG